UUUUUGUAAAUAAUAAAAAGUNUAAUCUGCCCNCUGAAUUUAUUUAAAGGGCUGCAGUAUAUUGACUGUACAAAGGUAGCAUAAUCAAUAGUCUUUUAAUUGAAGACUUGUAUGAAUGAUUUGAUGAAAUAUAAACUGUCUCUUUAUUAAAAAUAAAAUUUAAUUUUUUAGUUAAAAAGCUAAAAUAAUUAUAAAAGACGAGAAGACCCUAUAGAGUUUUAUAUUUAUUUUAUUUAGAAAUUAUUUAUAUAAUUUAAAUAUAUAAUAAUUUAAAUAUUUUAUUGGGGUGAUAGAAAAAUUAAAUAAACUUUUUUUAAAUUUUAACAUUAAUUUAUGAAAUUAUGAUCCAUAAUUUAUGAUUAAAAGAAAAAAUUACCUUAGGGAUAACAGCGUAAUUUUUUUUUUUAGUUCAAAUAAAAAAAAGAGUUUGCGACCUCGAUGUUGGAUUAAGAUAAAAUUUAAAUGCAAAAGUUUAAAAUUUUUGAUCUGUUCGAUCAUUAAAA
rnacentral:rRNA from 1 species